GUAAUAGGACGCCUUAACUUUUAACAUUUUGGGUUCUUGAAUCUUCUUCACUGUGGCUGUGGCCUAUAGCCCCCUUCUUUUUCACUCGCUCUCUCUUUUGAACCGCAGCUUCUUAUAGUGGUAGAUGAUUCCUAAAGUAGUUUGAUAUAUUGCAAUGUGCAUCGACUGCAGCUUCUCUUAUGACCAUGAGCAAUUGGGUACAUGUCCUUUGUUUUCUUAAUGGAUUCUUUGAUUAAUUUCAGCUCCAGCUUGUUUGAUAUAUAAGUGUGCUUUCUGGUUGUUCUUUUCCAGUGACCCAUUAAGUGAUGCAAAUGGCUGUCAAGAAAUCUUGUCUGGUUAUAUGAAUAUCUCAUAUCUUAUCAUUGGAAGCAUCAUGUUAAUCUAAAGGAUUCACGGGUUGCAAGGAGUUCUUAUUGAUUUCGUGAGUUUAAAUAGAGAGUUAAGUGUAUCAUUGCAUGUGCUUGUAGCUGUUGAUAUUGAUGCUUCAAUUAUGAUAUUGCCUGUGAAAUGGGUUAAUCAGAGCAAUGGUUUGCAUGACUUCUUUUAAUGUAAUAUAAGUUGAUGACGGGCAGAUUUCGAUCCCUUAAAUAUCUUUUUCAGGUUGCUUGUUCAUGGCAUCAUCAAAAAAUUUACAUUCAAGAACUAGAAUUAUGUGGAGCUUGAGGUCUCAUUAGUUUAAUCAAAACUCAAAACCAGUUUUGAGUACUCUAUGACCCUAUGCUGCUGCUAUGAAUCAAAUUGGAUUCAAAAUAUGCAAUUGUUACAUUUCACCAGAAUGUUACUAGUUUUGGUUUAGACAAACUCUACUAAAGGAUUCUACUUAUGUUAUACUGUAAUGGUCUUAUCUAUGCACUUCACCUCGUGACUUAUUUUCCCAAAAUCUAAUGUAGCUGAAAGUAAAUUAGUGCCUCUCUACAAUCUACUAUAAUCACUGUUAGUUCUGUGGUAUAUUAGCUUAAUAUACCCAUGUACUAAUAACGGUGAAUUACUCAUAAUACUAUCAAAUGGAAAAUAUAAAGUGCAAACUAAACUUCAAUUGUCUUUUGAUUUAGAGCCGUGUAUCUCCAUCUCUCUUUUUCGACAAAGUCCGCAUCCAAGAACCUUGAAACAAAUGCCCAAAGCCUGUAAACAUCUUCAAAAUUUGUCAAGAAUCCUAGUGUAGCUGUGAUGGCAGAAAUACCAGAAUGAGGUUUUUGUUUUUCUCUCUUUUCAUUAAGGUUCUGUGCUCCCAUUUCCGAUAGCUGUCCCCUCUGCUCUUCAUGCUUGGCUGGAAGCCAAAUGUGGUGCAAAAACCCGUAGCUUAAAGAAAUGUUGUUUCUGUCGGCAAGUUUUUGAACAAGUACAGGAUCAAUUCUUUCUCCCUUCCAAUCAAAUAUAUUGAAUGCCACUGCUGGUCCUCUGUCAAACUUUAUCUUUGGCCCAUAUAUUCUGAUUAGCGGGUUCCCGUUUUCAGAAUGUGGAUGCUGAAGACUCAUUAAUGCAUUUACCAGCCAGUUGAUCAGGUAUCUUGCUCUUGUACUGAUAAGUAUCAAGCCUAAAGAAUCUGCAUGUUCCA
rnacentral:lncRNA from 1 species